CUUUUCUUUCCACGUGCACUUACGGAUGUCGCUCACUUUUUCAAAAAACUCCGACGAAAUGUGAAAAAUAACGCCAGACAACCAUUUGGUUAAAUUGAAUUCUAUGCAUGCCAUGUGCAUGUGAGACACCUCGGGACAUGAGGUUCUUGAGGCUCCUCGGGACAACAUCUGAAAUGUUCAGAAACCUGGGGACAUUAAGACUUCUACGGACAAUUCCCAUUUUUGAGGUUACCACGUGGCUGUACUGACCUUUUUUCUCGGGUUGAAGGGUGCCGGUUUGAGGUUAUGUUUUGAGAACCUUAAGUACAUGGAUAAAAAAAGAAUAACUUAAUUCGACAGUGAACGUUAACAUUCCCAGAGAAGUCGAUGGGAUUCAUUUAAAAGAUUAAUGGUGUCCGGAAAUGCAGUACAAAGAUAUGAUUGGAUGUUGUUAUAAACACAAAAAUAUAAAUAAAAUGCCAAGAAGCUAAAUGUA